rnacentral:rRNA from 1 species
UAUUAUUUUAGCGGCGGACGGGUGAGUAACGUGUGGGUAACCUGCCUUUUACUGUGGAAUAAUCGUUGGAAACGACGACUAAUACCGCAUACGAUUUUCUGAAGGCAUCUUCGGAAAAAGAAAGGAAAUAUUCGGUAAAAGAUGGGCCCGCAUCUGAUUAGCUAGUUGGUGAGAUAAUAGCCCACCAAGGCAACGAUCAGUAGCCGACCUGAGAGGGUGACCGGCCACAUUGGGACUGAGACACGGCCCAAACUCCUACGGAAGGCAGCAG